rnacentral:rRNA from 1 species
UGUAAGCGUAUGCCAAAGUUGUUGCAGUUAAAACGCUCGUAGUCGGAAUUUGGCAGUUCCGGAUGUGUGCACGUCGUGUGCGCACUUCGCGGGGAUUGCUUUUGUGGUCUUGCGUAGGAUGAGGCACUUUUAUUAGUGAACGUCCUCACGCAACCACUUUUUACCGUGAGAAAAUCAGAGUGCUCAAAGCAGGCAUUUGCCGUGAAUGUAUUAGCAUGGAAUAAUAGAAUAGGACUUGGUUCUAUUUUGUUGGUUUGUUGGGACUGAGUAAUGAUUAAGAGGGACAGUUGGGGGCAUUUGUAUUUCGGUGCUAGAGGUGAAAUUCUUAGAUUACCGAAAGACAAACUGCUGCGAAAGCGUCUGCCAAGGAUGUUUUCAUUGA